CCUACGGGGGGCAGCAGUGGGGAAUAUUGCACAAUGGGGGGAAGCCUGAUGCAGCAACGCCGCGUGGGUGAAGAAGGACUUCGGUAUGUAAAGCCCUGUCAGCAGGGAAGAAAAUGACGGUACGUGACCAAGAAGCUCCGGAUAACUACGUGCCAGCAGCCGCGGUAAUACGUAGGGGGCAAGCGUUAUCCGGAUUUACUGGGUGUAAAGGGAGCGUAGACGGCAAGGAAAGUGUGGAGUGAAAGUCCGUGGCUCAACCACUGGACUGCUUUUGAAACUGGGUUGCUGGAGUGGAGGCGGGGUAAGCGGAAUUCCUAGUGUAGCGGUGAAAUGCGUAGAUAUUAGGAGGAACCCCGGUGGCGAAGGCGGCUUACUGGACUGUAACUGACGUUGAGGCUCGAAGGCGUGGGGAGCAAACAGGAUUAGAUACCCCUGUAGUC
rnacentral:rRNA from 1 species